UUAACGCUGGCUGUGUGCCUAAUACAUGCAUGUCGAGCGGAGUUCUUCGGAACUUAGCGGCGAAUGGGUGAGUAACACGUACUUAACGUGCCCUCUAGAUUGGGAUAACGAUGAGAAAUUAUCGCUAAUACCGGAUACUUAUUAGUUUGGCAUCAAGCUAAUAUAAAAGGAGCGUUUGCUUCACUAGAGGAUCGGGGUGCGGAACAUUAGUUUGUUGGUAAGGUAAUGGCUUACCAAGACKAUGAUGUUUAGCGGGGUUGAGAGACUGAUCCGCCACACUGGGACUGAGAUACGGCCCAGACUCCUACGGGAGGCAGCAGUAGGGAAUUUUCCACAAUGGACGAAAGUCUGAUGGAGCGACACAGCGUGCAGGAAGACGGCCUUCGGGUUGUAAACUGCUGUUAUAAGGGAAGAAAAAGCAGUAGAGGAAAUGCUAUUGCCUUGACGGUACCUUGUCAGAAAGCAACGGCUAACUAUGUGCCAGCAGCCGCGGUAAUACAUAGGUUGCAAGCGUUAUCCGGAAUUAUUGGGCGUAAAGCGUCUGUAGGUUGUGUGUUAAGUCUGGCGUUAAAACUUGGGGCUCAACCCCAAAUUGCGUUGGAUACUGGCACGCUAGAAUUGUGUAGAGGUUAGCGGAAUUCCUAGUGAAGCGGUGAAAUGCGUAGAUAUUAGGAAGAACACCAACAUGGCGAAGGCAGCUAACUGGGCACAUAUUGACACUGAGAGACGAAAGCGUGGGGAGCAAACAGGAUUAGAUACCCUGGUAGUCCACGCUGUAAACGAUGAUGAUUAGCUGAUAGAGAACUAUCGGCGCAGCUAACGCAUUAAAUCAUCCGCCUGAGUAGUAUGCUCGCAAGAGUGAAACUUAAAGGAAUUGACGGGGACCCGCACAAGCGGUGGAGCAUGUGGUUUAAUUUGAAGAUACGCGUAGAACCUUACCCACUCUUGACAUCUUCCGCAAUGCUAUAGAGAUAUAGCGGAGGCUAACGGAAUGACAGAUGGUGCAUGGUUGUCGUCAGCUCGUGUCGUGAGAUGUUCGGUUAAGUCCUGCAACGAGCGCAACCCUUAUCCUUAGUUAAAUGUUCUAGGGAGACUGCCCGAGUAAUUGGGAGGAAGGUGGGGACGACGUCAAAUCAUCAUGCCUCUUACGAGUGGGGCAACACACGUGCUACAAUGGAUAGUACAAAGAGAAGCAAUACGGUGACGUGGAGCAAAUCUCAAAAAACUAUUCUCAGUUCGGAUUGUAGUCUGCAACUCGACUACAUGAAGUCGGAAUCGCUAGUAAUCGUAGAUCAGCUACGCUACGGUGAAUACGUUCUCGGGUCUUGUACACACCGCCCGUCACACCAUGGGAGCUGGUAAUGCCCGAAGUCGGUUUUGUUAACUACGGAGACAACUGCCUAAGGCAGGGCCGGUGACUGGGGUGAAGUCGUAACAAGGUAUCCCUACGAGAACGUGGGGAUGGAUUACCUCCUUUCUACGGAGUACAUAAGUUACAAUUCAUUUUAGUAACAAUUACUAACUUUUAAGACCAUUUU
rnacentral:rRNA from 1 species